CGGGAUUCGGUGUUCGCGGCCGGGCUCGGGGCUCCCAGCUCCGUGGUCCGGCUCUGGCUCCGACGUCUGGAGCGCUCGCCCUCCGUGUCCUCUAGGCUUUUCGCCCUUGAGACCCGGGGAGGCCGAGGCGAGAGUGCUUCUGGAUGGAUCUUCCUUAUCAUCCUAGGAUUGCUCGCCAUCCUCAAGCUUGAAAACCCACUAAAAACCAUUUGAGGGGCCUCUUUAAGUGGUGAGUUGGACAUGGCUGAAGGCUACGGCUGUCCUCUUCCCAGGCGUCUUCCUCUGAGGCUGGCAGAAUAAUGGAGAAAUGAUACUGACUGUAUGAAAGCAUCCCCUUCGGCCAACUCCUGUCUUCCUGGGAAGGCCCCCUGGAAGAAACAGCUGAAGAAGUUGAAGCUGAAGAGUUCCAAUGCCUUGCCAAGACCAUUCUGUUGGCUGGGAGAACACAUCCCUGCCUAGCUGGAGGAAAGUAGGAGAGCGUCCGAAGAGGCUGGCAGCUUCAUUUUGCAAACACACAGGUGCUG